GCCUCUGUCCCCAGAGCAGAGCUCAGCCCUCGGCCUCGGAGCGAAGGGCACGGCCAGGAGAGCUCGUCCCAAAGCUCCGCAGGCAAAGGGAGCCCGGCCCCCUGAGCAGGGCCUGGUGUGGCAGAGGAAGCUCAGCCUGCACAGAAAGGCGCUCCAAAACACCAUCUCCCCCUCGCAGCCCUCCUCCUCCUGGAAACCAGUGAGCAGGAACUGGGCUGCCUCAGAGUUCAGAUUUGUUCUGCCUUUGUACAAAUCCCCCAAAUCCUAUUCUGGGUCCAGCAAAGCAUCCAUGUGUCCUCCGAAGUACGUGGGGAUCCUUCCCCCACCUGGCUGCUUUCAGAAGUUAAAACGGCCCAAAUUUCCAUCGUUUUGUGGAAGGAGGUCAUGCACAGCCAGGAGAAGCUGGACGUGGUGGAAGUUCUGGUCCUCCAAAUCCCCCACCCGCUGCAGAGGAUAAUUUUAAUCCACGAAAAGGAUGAGUUUUGGCUUUGUGGGAAGUGCUGGGAGCUGUAGUUGUGUCUCUGUGAGUGGGGAAGGCACAACAGCCACUGGAGGAUCUCGGUACCCAGCUGGGGGAUGCUGAAAGGGGUUCCUCUGGUGUCAGGGUCCACUGAGCUUGCCCAACCCUGAGUUUUGUCUUUUGGGUCAAAACCAGAAUAUUUUUUACCAUUCCUGACCUGUUCCAAAAGUGCCUCAUGCAAUGGUCACACUUAUUAGGACUCCUUGCUUUAAGAUAAAGGAUGCCCUAAAUCAGGUCUGUCCACCUAUAAGAUGUCAUUUUUUAAUGAUGAUGUUUUUGCAUUCCAAGAAAUGGAUGGAAAAUUAUUCCUAAAAGCACUGGCUGAUUUCCAUAUCUGCUCCUCCCACCCGAGUUUUCCUUUCAGUCCUGCCUCCCAGCACCCGAUCCAGCUGCGAUUCCUGCAGAUCCCAGCAGGGUUUGAGCGGCUGAAAACCCCCGGGGUUCUGCAGAGUUCCCGGAGCCCGGCCGGGUCCCGCCCAGCCUGACGCGGUGUUUCCAGGGCCGCAGGUUUCCUGCUCACUGGAAACACCACAACAAACCCUAAACACAGCCCAGCCGCCCUGGGGAGGGAGCUGCACCCUCAGCUUCCCAGGAAUUCCCGAAUGCAGCUGAUCCAGAUGUGCAUCCAGCUGCCAGCAGGGAAAAGCGAAGCCAGGACUUCCCCGUCCUGCAGGGUUUUAGCUCAUUUCUUUCAGGAAACCAUGGGAUGUUACACUGUUUAAUCUUUAUAUCUGGAGUGGUUUUAGCCCUUUCUUUAGCAAAAGCUUUUUCUUGUAUCAGCCCGAAGUUCCUUGCAGUUUUUAUUUCCACCACAGGAAGAUAACGCCACAUGUGGGUUGGGCAUCUCUGAUCUCAUAACGUCAAGGAGCCACUUCUGCUUUCCAGGGGGAGGGAGCAGCUCAGUCCCGCUCUGAGCACAUCAGCCAGGCACAGACACUGAAACACAACUCCUGAAUAUCCUCCCCAGGGCUGCCACCCUGCAACAGAGGGACUGGAAAAGUCACGGGUGCUCUUUGGGCUGCCUACCCCAAUUCUGUCCUGUAAAGACCUAAAACUCCCAAAGCCUUCCUGGGUUUUUAUUUCUGUUUAGUAAUAAAUGGUGAUGGUUUAUAAAGGGCACUCUGUGAAUUCAACUCCUUGCUGGUUUUUUGUCGUAUUUUUUUCUAUUUUUC